rnacentral:rRNA from 1 species
UACGUAGGGGGCAAGCGUUGUCCGGAAUCAUUGGGCGUAAAGCGCGUGUAGGCGGCUUGGUAAGUCUGCUCUGAAAGCCCGGGGCUCAACCCCGGGAGGCGGGUGGAUACUGUCGGGCUCGAAUCCGGAAGAGGUGAGUGGAAUUCCUGGUGUAGCGGUGAAAUGCGCAGAUAUCAGGAAGAACACCAAUGGCGAAGGCAGUUCUCUGGGACGGUACUGACGCUGAGACGCGAAAGCGUGGGGAGCGAACAGG